GACGAACCGUCCAAACGUUAUUCGGAAUCACUGGGCUUAAAGGGUGCGUAGGCGGCGCGGAAAGUUGGGUGUGAAAUCCCUCGGCUCAACCGAGGAACUGCGCCCAAAACUACCGUGCUCGAGGAAGAUAGAGGUGAGCGGAACUUAGGGUGGAGCGGUGAAAUGCGUUGAUAUCCUAAGGAACACCGGUGGCGAGAGCGGCUCACUGGAUCUUUUCUGACGCUGAGGCACGAAAGCUAGGGUAGCGAACGGG
rnacentral:rRNA from 1 species